GAUGAACGCUGGCGGCGUGCCUAAUACAUGCAAGUCGAGCGAACGGACGAGAAGCUUGCUUCUCUGAUGUUAGCGGCGGACGGGUGAGUAACACGUGGAUAACCUAUCUAUAAGACUGGGAUAACUUCGGGAAACCGUAGCUAAUACCGGAUAAUAUUUUGAACCGCAUGGUUCAAAAGUGAAAGACGGUCUUGCUGUCACUUAUAGAUGGAUCCGCGCUGCAUUAGCUAGUUGGUAAGGUAACGGCUUACCAAGGCAACGAUGCAUAGCCGACCUGAGAGGGUGAUCGGCCACACUGGAACUGAGACACGGUCCAGACUCCUACGGGAGGCAGCAGUAGGGAAUAUUCCGCAAUGGGCGAAAGCCUGACGGAGCAACGCCGCGUGAGUGAUGAAGGUCUUCGGAUCGUAAAACUCUGUUAUUAGGGAAGAACAUAUGUGUAAGUAACUGUGCACAUCUUGACGGUACCUAAUCAGAAAGCCACGGCUAACUACGUG
rnacentral:rRNA from 1 species